UACGUAGGGUGCAGGCGUUAAUCGGAAUUACUGGGCGUAAAGCGUGCGCAGGCGGUUUCUUAAGUCAGAUGUGAAAGCCCCGGGCUUAACCUGGGAACUGCGUUUGAAACUGGGAGACUUGAGUGUGGCAGAGGGGGGUGGAAUUCCACGUGUAGCAGUGAAAUGCGUAGAUAUCUGGAGGAACACCGGUGGCGAAGGCGGCAUCCUGGACCAAUACUGACACUGAAAAGCGAAAGCCAGGGGAGCAAACGGG
rnacentral:rRNA from 1 species